rnacentral:rRNA from 1 species
GAUGAACGCUGGCGGCGUGCUUAACACAUGCAAGUCGAACGGUGAAGCAGGAGCUUGCUCUUGUGGAUCAGUGGCGAACGGGUGAGUAACACGUGAGCAACCUGCCCCUGACUCUGGGAUAAGCGCUGGAAACGGCGUCUAAUACUGGAUAUGUGAUGUGACCGCAUGGUCUGCAUCUGGAAAGAAUUUCUGUUGGGGAUGGGCUCGCGGCCUAUCAGCUUGUUGGUGAGGUAAUGGCUCACCAAGGCGUCGACGGGUAGCCCUCCUGAGCGGGUGACCGGCCACACUGGGACUGAGACACGGCCCAGACUCCUACGGGAGGCAGCAGUGGGGAAUAUUGCACAAUGGGCGGAAGCCUGAUGCAGCAACGCCGCGUGAGGGAUGACGGCCUUCGGGUUGUAAACCUCUUUUAGCAUGGAAGAAGCGAAAGUGACGGUACCUGCAGAAAAAGCACCGGCUAACUACGUGCCAGCAGCCGCGGUAA